rnacentral:rRNA from 1 species
CGUGUAGGCGGUUUGUUAAGUCAUGUGUGAAAUCCCUCGGCUCAACCGGGGAACGACGCAUGAAACUGGCAAGCUAGAGUACCAAAGAGGGGGGUGGAAUUCCCAGUGUAGCGGUGAAAUGCGUAGAUAUCGGGAGGAACACCUGUGGCGAAGGCGGCCCCCUGGUUGGAUACUGACGCUGAGACGCGAAAGCGUGGGGAGCAAACA